AGUUGGAGGGGCGUGUUGUUGGCUUCCAAAAGUUUUCUGCCCGUGGAGAGAAAGUCGCUGCCGAGGCCAGGGACCA
rnacentral:tRNA from 1 species